rnacentral:rRNA from 1 species
UACGUAGGGCCCGAGCGUUAUCCGGAAUUACUGGGCGUAAAGUGUGCGUAGGUGUCUCUGCAAGUCGGUCGUUAAAUCUCCCUGCCUAACAGUGAGGCCGCGAGCGAUACUGCAGGGAUUGAGUCUUAAAGGGGUGAGCAGAAUUCCCGGAGUAGGGGUGAAAUCCGUUGAUACCGGGAGGAAUACCGAUGGCGAAGGCAGCUCACUGGUUAAGUACUGACACUGAGGCACGAAAGCGUGGGGAGCGAACGGG